AAACCAACAGGGAUUGCCCCAGUAGCGGCGAGUGAAGCGGCAAGAGCUCAGAUUUGAAAUCGUGUUUCGGCACGAGUUGUAGAGUGUAGGCGGGAGUCUCUGUGGAGCGCGGUGUCCAAGUCCCUUGGAACAGGGUGCCUGAGAGGGUGAGAGCCCCGUAGGGUGCUGCGCGAAGCUUUUGAGGCCCUGCUGACGAGUCGAGUUGUUUGGGAAUGCAGCUCCAAGCGGGUGGUAAAUUCCAUCUAAGGCUAAAUAUUGGCGAGAGACCGAUAGCGAACAAGUACUGUGAAGGAAAGAUGAAAAGCACUUUGAAAAGAGAGUGAAACAGCACGUGAAAUUGUUGAAAGGGAAGGGUAUUGGGCUCGACAUGGGGGGUGCGCACCGCUGUCUCUUGUAGGCGGCGCUCUGGGCGCCCUCUGGGCCAGCAUCGGUUCCUGCUGCGGGAGAAGGGGCUCCGGAAAGUGGCUCUUCGGAGUGUUAUAGCCCGGGGCCAGAUGCCCGCGUGUGGGGGACCGAA
rnacentral:rRNA from 1 species